rnacentral:rRNA from 1 species
CUUCCGUAGGGGGUGGCUGCGGAAGGAUCAUUAAAGAAAUUUAAUAAUUUUGAAAAUGGAUUUUUUUGUUUUGGCAAGAGCAUGAGAGCUUUUACUGGGCAAGAAGACAAGAGAUGGAGAGUCCAGCCGGGCCUGCGCUUAAGUGCGCGGUCUUGCUAGGCUUGUAAGUUUCUUUCUUGCUAUUCCAAACGGUGAGAGAUUUCUGUGCUUUUGUUAUAGGACAAUUAAAACCGUUUCAAUACAACACACUGUGGAGUUUUCAUAUCUUUGCAACUUUUUCUUUGGGCAUUCGAGCAAUCGGGGCCCAGAGGUAACAAACACAAACAAUUUUAUUUAUUCAUUAAAUUUUUGUCAAAAACAAGAAUUUUCGUAACUGGAAAUUUUAAAAUAUUAAAAACUUUCAACAACGGAUCUCUUGGUUCUCGCAUCGAUGAAGAACGCAGCGAAAUGCGAUACGUAAUGUGAAUUGCAGAAUUCCGUGAAUCAUCGAAUCUUUGAACGCACAUUGCGCCCCUUGGUAUUCCAGGGGGCAUGCCUGUUUGAGCGUCAUUUCCUUCUCAAACAUUCUGUUUGGUAGUGAGUGAUACUCUUUGGAGUUAACUUGAAAUUGCUGGCCUUUUCAUUGGAUGUUUUUUUUCCAAAGAGAGGUUUCUCUGCGUGCUUGAGGUAUAAUGCAAGUACGGUCGUUUUAGGUUUUACCAACUGCGGCUAAUCUUUUUUAUACUGAGCGUAUUGGAACGUUAUCGAUAAGAAGAGAGCGUCUAGGCGAACAAUGUUCUUAAAGUUUGACCUCAAAUCAGGUAGGAGUACCCGCUGAACUUAAGCAUAUCAAAAAGAGCCGAAGAAA